rnacentral:rRNA from 1 species
GACGUAGGGGGCCAGCGUUGUUCGGAAUUACUGGGUGUAAAGGGUUCGUAGGCGGUGCGGUAAGUCGGAAGUGAAAUCUCUGGGCUUAACUCAGAGGCUGCUUCCGAAACUGCUGUGCUAGAGUGCGGGAGAGGCGCGUGGAAUUGCAGGUGUAGCGGUGAAAUGCGUAGAUAUCUGCAGGAACACCCGUGGCGAAAGCGGCGCGCUGGACCGUUACUGACGCUGAGGAACGAAAGCUAGGGGAGCAAACAGG